rnacentral:rRNA from 1 species
UACGAAGGGAGCGAGCGUUGUUCGGAAUCACUGGGCUUAAAGCGUGCGUAGGUGGAUUGGUAAGUAAGGAGUGAAAUCCCAGGGCUUAACCCUGGAACUGCUCUUUAGACUGCCUGUCUGGAAUUCGGAAGAGGUUGGUGGAACUCCCAGUGUAGAGGUGAAAUUCGCAGAUAUUGGGAAGAACACCGGUGGCGAAGGCGACCAACUGGUCCGGACAUUGACACUGAGGCACGAAAGCGUGGGUAGCAAACAGG